GCGGGCUUUUCGGUCGGGCACGCAGGAUGACGCGAACUCUGCCGGAAGUGACGCAUUCCUAAGCCGCAGGAAAAGGGAAAAUCUGGAGGCAACCUCACACACAGAAUGUGCCAUGCAAAGAUGACAGAAAUUGGGGUGAUGCUUCUACAGGCCAAGGAGUGCCAAAGGCUGCCAGCUAACCACUACAAACUAGGUAAAAAUCUUUCCAACCUCACAGUACAGUAUACUUAAUACUUGACAGUGUCUG